GGCGAGAUGGCCGAGUGGUCUAAGGCGCUAGAUUUAGGCUCUAGUCCUCCGGGGCGCGGGUUCGAACCCCGCUCUCGUCA
rnacentral:tRNA from 1 species